CUACGGGGGGCUCCAGUGAGGAAUAUUGCACAAUGGGGGCAACCCCGAUGCAGCAACGCCGCGUGGAGGAUGACGCAUUUCGGUGUGUAAACUCCUUUUAUCAGAGAAGAACCAUGACGGUAUCUGAUGAAUAAGCUCCGGCUAACUCCGUGCCAGCAGCCGCGGUAAUACGGAGGGAGCAAGCGUUAUUCGGAAUCACUGGGCGUAAAGGACGCGUAGGCCGGUCUGUAAGUCAGGUGUGAAAUGCAAUGGCUCAACCAUGGAACUGCACUUGAAACUGCGGACCUAGAGUAUGGAAGGGGCAGAUGGAAUUAGUGGUGUAGGGGUAAUAUCCGUAGAUAUCACUAGGAAUACCGAAAGCGAAGGCGAUCUGCUGGGACAUAACUGACGCUGAGGCGUGAAAGCGUGGGGAGCAAACAGGAUUAGAUACCCCCGUAGUC
rnacentral:rRNA from 1 species